UACGUAGGGGGCAAGCGUUGUCCGGAAUUAUUGGGCGUAAAGGGCUCGUAGGCGGUUUGUCGCGUCGGGAGUGAAAUCCACUGGCUUAACUGGUGGCUUGCUUUCGAUACGGGCAGACUGGAGGUAUGUAGGGGAGAACGGAAUUCCUGGUGUAGCGGUGAAAUGCGCAGAUAUCAGGAGGAACACCGGUGGCGAAAGCGGUUCUCUGGGCAUGUCCUGACGCUGAGGAGCGAAAGUGUGGGGAGCGAACAGG
rnacentral:rRNA from 1 species